UGCCUUACACGAUGCAAGUCGAACGGCAGGCACGGGGGCAACCCUGGUGGCGAGUGGCGAACGGGUGAGUAAUGCAUCGGAACGUGCCCAUCGGAUGGGGGAUAACUGCGCGAAAGCGUUGCUAAUACCGCAUACGACCUGAGGGUGAAAGCAGGGGACCGCAAGGCCUUGCGUCGAUGGAGCGGCCGAUGUCGGAUUAGCUAGUUGGUGGGGUAAAGGCUCACCAAGGCGACGAUCCGUAGCUGGUCUGAGAGGACGACCAGCCACACUGGGACUGAGACACGGCCCAGACUCCUACGGGAGGCAGCAGUGGGGAAUCUUGGACAAUGGGCGCAAGCCUGAUCCAGCAAUGCCGCGUGUGGGAAGAAGGCCUUCGGGUUGUAAACCACUUUUGGCAGGAAAGAAAUCGUCCGUGCUAAUACCAUGGAUGGAUGACGGUACCUGCAGAAUAAGCACCGGCUAACUACGUG
rnacentral:rRNA from 1 species